rnacentral:snoRNA from 1 species
ACAUCCCACUCUCACAACUUGACAGAUCAUCCAGCAGGAAAGUCAACAAAGAAACAAGGGAGCUCAAGUGUAGGUAGUGUGCUACAUGAGGGCCAAGUUUUUCGCUAACACCAUGAGGGUCUCUGGCCGAAUGAGUGGAGUUGGAUAGUAAUUCUUGCUACAAUA